rnacentral:rRNA from 2 species
AGAGUUUGAUCCUGGCUCAGGACGAACGCUGGCGGCGUGCUUAACACAUGCAAGUCGAACGGAAAGGCCUCUUCGGAGGUACUCGAGUGGCGAACGGGUGAGUAACACGUGGGCAAUCUGCCCUGCACUUCGGGAUAAGCCUGGGAAACUGGGUCUAAUACCGAAUAGGACCACUUGGCGCAUGCCUUGUGGUGGAAAGCUUUUGCGGUGUGGGAUGGGCCCGCGGCCUAUCAGCUUGUUGGUGGGGUGAUGGCCUACCAAGGCGACGACGGGUAGCCGGCCUGAGAGGGUGUCCGGCCACACUGGGACUGAGAUACGGCCCAGACUCCUACGGGAGGCAGCAGUGGGGAAUAUUGCACAAUGGGCGCAAGCCUGAUGCAGCGACGCCGCGUGGGGGAUGACGGCCUUCGGGUUGUAAACCUCUUUCACCAUCGACGAAGGCUCACUUUGUGAGUUGACGGUAGGUGGAGAAGAAGCACCGGCCAACUACGUGCCAGCAGCCGCGGUAAUACGUAGGGUGCGAGCGUUGUCCGGAAUUACUGGGCGUAAAGAGCUCGUAGGUGGUUUGUCGC